UCCGGCUUUCACCGGCUGUCUCUCUAGAGUGCCCAGCUCUACCUGCUGGCAACUAAAGAUAAGGGUUGCGCUCGUUGCGGGACUGAACCCAACAUCUCACGACACGAGCUGACGACAACCAUGCACCACCUGUCUCCUCUGUCCCGAAGGCCUAGACUAUCUCUAAUCUAUUCAGAGGGAUGUCAAAACCUGGUAAGGUUUUUCGCGUUGCUUCGAAUUAAACCACAUGCUCCACCGCUUGUGCGGGCCCCCGUCAAUUCCUUUGAGUUUCAGCCUUGCGGCCGUACUCCCCAGGCGGAGUGCUUAAUGGGUUUCCUUCGGCACUGACGGUCGUUGACCUCCAACACCUAGCACUCAUCGUUUACGGCGUGGACUAC
rnacentral:misc_RNA from 1 species